rnacentral:rRNA from 1 species
UGGGGAAUAUUGCACAAUGGGGGAAACCCUGAUGCAGCGACGCCGCGUGAGCGAAGAAGGCUUUCGAGUCGUAACGCUCUGUCCUAUGAGAAGAUAAUGACGGUAUCAUAGGAGGAAGCCCUGGCUAAAUACGUGCCAGCAGCCGCGGUAAUACGUAUGGGGCGAGCGUUGUCCGGAAUUAUUGGGCGUAAAGGGUACGUAGGCGGUUUUUUAAGUCAGGUGUCAAAGCGUGGAGCUUAACUCCAUUAAGCACUUGAAACUGAAAGACUUGAGUGAAGGAGAGGAAAGUGGAAUUCCUAGUGUAGCGGUGAAAUGCGUAGAUAUUAGGAGGAAUACCGGUGGCGAAGGCGACUUUCUGGACUGUUACUGACGCUCAGGUACGAAAGCGUGGGGAGCAAACAGG